rnacentral:rRNA from 1 species
CGGAGGCAGCAGUGGGGAAUCUUGCACAAUGGGGGAAACCCUGAUGCAGCGACGCCGCGUGAGCGAUGAAGCCCUUCGGGGUGUAAAGCUCUUUCGGCCGGAACGAUUAUGACGGUACCGGCAGAAGAAGCUGCGGCUAACUACGUGCCAGCAGCCGCGGUAAUACGUAGGCAGCGAGCGUUGUUCGGAGUUACUGGGCGUAAAGAGUGCGUAGGCGGUUGGCUAAGUUUGGUGUGAAAUCUCCCGGCUCAACUGGGAGGGUGCGCCGAAAACUGGCUGGCUAGAGUGUGGGAGAGGCAAGCGGAAUUCCUGGUGUAGCGGUGAAAUGCGUAGAUAUCAGGAGGAACACCUGCGGUGUAGACGGCUUGCUGGACCAUGUCUGACGCUGAGGCACGAAAGCGUGGGGAGCAAACAGGAUUAGAAACCCUAGUAGUCCC